UACGUAGGGAGCGAGCGUUGUCCGAAGUUACUGGGCGUAAAGCGCGCGUAGGCGGGUUUGUAAGUCGGAGGUGAAAGGCUGGGGCUCAACCCCAUGCAGUGCCUCCGAUACUUCAAGUCUUGAGUGGGGUAGGGAGAAGUGGAAUGGCUGGUGUAGCGGUGAAAUGCGUAGAUAUCAGUCGGAACACCGGUGGCGAAGGCGGCUUCUUGGGCCUUUACUGACGCUGAGGCGCGAAAGCCAGGGGAGCGAACGGG
rnacentral:rRNA from 1 species